rnacentral:lncRNA from 1 species
ACUACAUAAUUGAUUGACACAUUAAAUUUUCAUAGGAUUUACGGAUUUUAAAAUAUUUACGCGUGGAAAAGAUGGUUUACAUUCUAGCCUGAAAUGUGGGUUGUUACAGCCGUACCCAAACUAGAAAUCUGAAAACAAACAGAGAUCCAGAUCGAAUUUGGAUGAAAUCUGAAGUGAACCGGGGUGGUUAACUAUUUUCAUGUCUUCCGGCAGUGAAGAAAACCAAAGUAAACAGAUUAAGUGGGUGCAGCAGUACCGUUUUCCAGCAAGCUCUCGCCGGAACAAUCAACCUCCAUCGUUUUCUCUCCCUCGCUCCCCUUUUCUCUCUCCCUCACGCCAUUUGUCACUUCUUUUUCAUUGUUUUUUUUACUCUGUGUUGUGUUUAGUUGUGUGCCUCUGGUGUCUUAUGUGUGUGCGCAUUUUCGGUGGCUUUGUACGUCUUUUUGGUGGCUGUGUUAGUCUAUGCGUGUGUGAGUGAGUGGAGGUGAAUUUGUUGAGAAUGUGUGUGUAUAUGUUGCUUGUGUUGAAUGGAAAUGGAGGUGUAUUUAUGGUGAGUUUCUAUGUAUGUAUUGUGAAUUGAAAAAGAUGGUUAGUGUAGAGAAUUGUGUGUAGAUGGAAAUUGGUGAGGUGUGAGUGAUAUAGUAUGUGUGAAUUUAAAAUUCCCGUGG